GGCUCUUUGAUGGAAAAGUUGAUAAGGAGUCGGACCUGCCCAGUGAAAAGUUUUAACGGCCGCGGUACUCUGACCGUGCAAAGGUAGCAUAAUCAUUUGCCUUAUAAUUGAAGGCUUGUAUGAAUGGUUUGACAAGAAUAUAGCUGUCUCUAUAUAAUUUUAUAGAAUUUUAUCUUGAAGUGAAGAAGCUUGAAUAGUAUUAAUAGACAAGAAGACCCUAUCGAGCUUGAAAGAAAAUAGUAGAAGAUCUAAAAAUAAAAUUAAAAAAUGAUCUAUUAUAGAUUUUGGUUGGGGCGACUUAGGAACAGAAAAAGCUUCCUAAAUUUAUAGAGAAAAACAAAGUGAUCCAAAAUAUUUUGAUUAAGGAAAUUAGUUACCGUAGGGAUAACAGCAUUAUCUUCUUUGAGAGUUCAUAUCGAAAAGAGGGUUUGUGACCUCGAUGUUGGACCAGAAUAUCCUGAAGAUGUAGCAGUCUUCAAGGGUUGGUCUGUUCGACCAUUAAAAUUCUACG
rnacentral:rRNA from 1 species